rnacentral:sRNA from 1 species
UCACAGCACUGUCACCGCGUUGGUGAAAA